rnacentral:sRNA from 1 species
ACUGUUGUAAUAGAAUUAACAGAAACUUCUAUAUUAGAAAAUAGCUAGAUUGUGAUAGAAGAGUGCAGAACAGCACAGAAUACUAUAGAACUCAUAUACUCACAGAAUUAUAAAUGACUGAAGUGUAUGAAUUUCCAUCAUUGCUGUCUAUAUAAUACUCACUGUGUAAUGGGUGUACUACUGAUUAACAGUUUAAGCACUAUCCUAAUACAGUUUAUGAAUUGAUUAAGGAAAGAAAGAGAAAAAAGAUUGAAAGGAAAGGUUGUAUGAAGGGGUUUUUAUAGGGGGAUGAGUGGAAUGGGAGAAUGUCAGGGAAUACAUGGAGGAAUCAUUAGAGACUACACAUGCGCGGAGUGGAAUUGUGAGGAUUGCGUGGAAGAAUUGUUAGGACUAUGUGUGUGUGGAGCAGGAUUGUGCGCGUGCGCAGAUACAUAAGGUGAUUGUGUAAGUUAACUACUAACAGAUGCUAACCCGUCACAUACUGAUAUUUAUAGAUUACAGA